rnacentral:rRNA from 1 species
UACGAAGGGUGCAAGCGUUGCUCGGAAUUAUUGGGCGUAAAGGGUAGGUAGGUGGUCUCGUUAGUCCGUGGUGAAAGCCUGCUGCUUAACAUCAGAAGUGCCUUGGAAACGGCGAGACUAGAGUUCUAGAGAGGGACGUGGAAUUCCCGGUGUAGCGGUGAAAUGCGUAGAGAUCGGGAGGAACACCAGAAGCGAAGGCGACGGCCUGGAUAGAUACUGACACUAAUCUACGAAAGCGUGGGUAGCAAACAGG